rnacentral:rRNA from 1 species
GGGAUUGCCCCAGUAACGGCGAGUGAAGCGGCAACAGCUCAAAUUUGAAAUCUGGCCCCCAGGGCCCGAGUUGUAAUUUGCAGAGGAUGCUUUUGGCGCGGUGCCUUCCGAGUUCCCUGGAACGGGACGCCAUAGAGGGUGAGAGCCCCGUCUGGUCGGACACCAAGCCAGUGUAAAGCUCCUUCGACGAGUCGAGUAGUUUGGGAAUGCUGCUCUAAAUGGGAGGUAUAUGUCUUCUAAAGCUAAAUACCGGCCAGAGACCGAUAGCGCACAAGUAGAGUGAUCGAAAGAUGAAAAGCACUUUGAAAAGAGGGUUAAACAGUACGUGAAAUUGUUGAAAGGGAAGCGUUUGUGACCAGACUUGGGCCCGGUGAAUCAUCCAGCGUUCUCGCUGGUGCACUUCGCCGGGCCCAGGCCAGCAUCAGUUCGCCGCGGGGGAUAAAAGCUUCGGGAACGUGGCUCCCUCGGGAGUGUUAUAGCCCGUUGCAUAAUACCCUGCGGCGGACUGAGGUUCGCGCUCCGCAAGGAUGCUGGCGUAAUGGUCAUCAGCGACCCGUCUUGAAACACGGACCAAGGAGUCGUCUUCGUAUGCGAGUGUUCGGGUGUCAAACCCCUACGCGUAAUGAAAGUGAACGCAGGUGAGAGCUUCGGCGCAUCAUCGACCGAUCCUGAUGUUCUCGGAUGGAUUUGAGUAAGAGCAUACGGGGCCGGACCCGAAAGAAGGUGAACUAUGCCUGUAUAGGGUGAAGCCAGAGGAAACUCUGGUGGAGGCUCGCAGCGGUUCUGACGUGCAAAUCGAUCGUCAAAUAUGGGCAUGGGGGCGAAAGACUAAUCGAACCUUCUAGUAGCUGGUUUCCGCCGAAGUUUCCCUCAGGAUAGCAGUGUUGAACUCAGUUUUAUGAGGUAAAGCGAAUGAUUAGGGACCCGGGGGCGCUCUUUAGCCUUCAUCCAUUCUCAAACUUUAAAUAUGUAAGAAGCCCUUGUUGCUUAAUUGAACGUGGGCAUUCGAAUGUAUCAACACUAGUGGGCCAUUUUUGGUAA